AGGAUCAUUAUUGAAAUAAACCUGAUAAGUUGUUGCUGGUUCUCUAGGGAGCAUGUGCACACUUAUCAUCUUUGUAUCUUCACCUGUGCACAUUUUGUAGACCUGAGUAUCUCUCUGAAUGCUUUAUGGCACUCAGGAUUGAGAGUUGACUUUUUGUCUCUUCUUAUAUUCUCAGGUCUAUGUUUUUCAUAUACCCCAAUGUAUGUUUAUAGAAUGUAAUUAAUAGGCCUUUGUGCCUAUAAACCUUUACAACUUUCAGCAACGGAUCUCUUGGCUCUCGCAUCGAUGAAGAACGCAGCGAAAUGCGAUAAGUAAUGUGAAUUGCAGAAUUCAGUGAAUCAUCGAAUCUUUGAACGCACCUUGCGCUCCUUGGUAUUCCGAGGAGCAUGCCUGUUUGAGUGUCAUUAAUAAUAUCAACCUCUUUGGUUGGAUGUGGGUUUGCUGGCCUUUUUGAGGUCAGCUCCCCUUAAAUGCAUUAGCGGACAACAUUUUGCCAACUGUUCUUUGGUGUGAUAAUUAUCUACGCCAUUGAUGUGAAGCAAAGGUUCGGCUUCUAACAGUCCAUUGACUUGGACAAACUCUUUUCUUAUUAAUGUGACCUCAAAUCAGGUAGGACUACCCGCUGAACUUAA
rnacentral:rRNA from 1 species